CCUACGGGUGGCAGCAGUGGGGAAUAUUGCACAAUGGGGGAAACCCUGAAGCAGCGACGCCGCGUGAGUGAAGAAGUAAUUCGUUAUGUAAAGCUCUAUCAGCAGGGAAGAAAAUGACGGUACCUGAGUAAGAAUCCCCGUCUAACUACGUGCCAGCAGCCGCGGCAACACGUAGGGGGCAAGCGUUAUCCGGAUUUACUGGGGGUAAAGGGGGCGUAGGCGGCAGUGCAAGUCUGGAGUGAAAGGCGGGGGUUUAACCCCCGGACUGCUCUUGAAACUGUACGGCUGGAGUGCAGGAGAGGUAAGUGGAAUGCCUGGUGUAGCGGUGAAAUGCGUAGAUAUCGAGAGGAACACUGGUGGCGAAGGCGGGUUCCUGGACCUUAACUGACGCUGAGGCACGAAGGCCAGGGGAGCGAACAGGAUUAGAUACCCCGGUAGUC
rnacentral:rRNA from 1 species